GAAGACUUGGGGUAAAUACAGUUUGUCCAAAAUGUGGAGGAGGAGUGGAAAGUAUUCAACAUGUAUUUCGAGUUUGCCUUGUGUCAUUGGAAGAGUGAAAUUCUUUAAAUCCUAUGUGGGUUGUCUCUAUGGCAAAUUUAGAUAAUUGGGAGUGGCUCACCUGGCUGUUUAAACGAAGCUCAAUUUCUUAGUGUCAUUUAUUCUGUUGCGCCUUAUGGGUGAUCUGGACAAAGCGAAGUAAGAAGUUGCAUGAAGCUAAGAGUAGUACUGGAAAAGGGAUUGUUGAAAUGACCAAUAGAUUUCUCAGGGAAAUUGAUGAAGUGGGGAAUGGAUCCCUUACCAAACAAUGGGUAGUGCCGGAAUGGAGGCCUCCAGAAACCCAAGUUGUUAAGAUCAAUUUUGGUGCGACGUAUCAUUGUAAUCAACUCGGAUCAACUUCGGGGUUGGUGGCUAGAAAUGGUGAAGGAAAGGUGCUAGCCUCAAAAUAGAUUUUGUGUAUGGAGGUUGCCACUUCGUUUGUAGCGGAGGCCCAUGCAUGUCUUCAUGCUGUGCGAAUGGGGUUAGCCAUGAAAGUAGGCAAGAUUGAGGUUGA
rnacentral:lncRNA from 1 species